rnacentral:snoRNA from 1 species
CCUCCAUUUCUUGGCAUACAUGUAGUUGUUUAGUACUCAUGUGUGUUAUGUACGGAGGAAAAACAAAUGCAGCGCUAUGUCUUCGGUACCGGUGUGUCUUCUAUCGUCUGCCGGUUCUAUCCUCAAUCGCUGUUACAUUC